rnacentral:lncRNA from 1 species
AGCGCCCUCCCCCAGCCCUGCCCAGCCAAGUCCCCGCCUCUUAGAAAAAAAAAGCGUCAGCAGCGGAAGAGAAUCCUAUGUCAAGUGUAAAGGUCACUUGUGAGUCUUUGCUGGAUUUUUUUGCCAAACGAUAAAUAACCGUCUUCACAAUGGGAGAUGCAGAACAGCUGGCAGGAAUCAAUGUACUCUGUGUUUCUCAUGGGAGAAAGAAAGAACACUGAAGGAAACAAGGACUGUGCCAGGAGAGGUGAUUAAGCAAUUAGAAUAUUUUGAAGUCUAAAAUAACUGUAGUAUCAGGAGAACAACUGAACGAGAAAAUAAAUUACUGAGAGUAAAGCAGUCUGUAGAUUUUGGGAAGAUUCGUAGGUGUGUGAGAAACAAGACAUUUUGGAAUCUUAAUGUAAUCUGAGAAGUAAAAUAGACCUGUAUUCCUGUCA